UGCGUAGGCGGGCUAAUAAGUCAGUGGUGAAAUCUCUCGGCUCAACCGGGAAACUGCCAUUGAUACUGUUAGUCUUGAGUUCGGUUGAGGUAGGCGGAAUGUGUAAUGUAGCGGUGAAAUGCUUAGAUAUUACACAGAACACCAAUUGCGUAGGCAGCUUACUAGACCGACACUGACGCUGUGGCACGAAAGCGUGGGGAGCGAACAGGAUUAGAUACCCUGGUAGUCC
rnacentral:rRNA from 1 species